GACUCAUAAUGGUGUAAUGGUUUGAACAUUGGACUCUGAUUCUAGAGACCAGGGUUCAAAACACUGCUCAGUCA